ensembl:lncRNA
ACUUUCAAUGCAGGCAGAAGCUUUGACUGGCUAAAGGAAACCGAAUAACCCACUGAAUUGAUCCAGUUGCUAUUCCUGCUUCUUUGAGUCAUCUUUCACCACUUCUGCCAUCCUGUAUCCUGUUUUGUUGAUAAAUUCCUCAAGAUCCUCAAUCAUUCCCAUGCCCAAGCCCCAAGCUUCUCAAUUGGCCUUCCCUCCAAGGUUGCUGAAUUAACUGACAUUGGUUCGUUCUGAAAGCCCUUUUUAAGACUUGAUCUCUGAGAUCACACCUACUUAAACCUCCAUCAACCUGUGCGCUGAUGCAAUGGCAAAAUAAAUUGCAUAGUGUUCAGCACUAUUGUUUAGUAUCAAUCCGCAAUAGAAAGAAGCAGAAGAAGCUGCAGGUUAUUACUCCCAGAUUCUCUAUUAAAGGAGAAAAAAACUCCAAAGUAUUCUUUUUCCCUAAGAGGUAUUGUGCAUCUUGUAGUCGAGGUAUCCAUAGCAGCACACACACCGCUGACAUGAAGCAUCACUGUGAAAACUACUCAUACAGUAGAGUAAGAUCUGUUGAUGUAUGGGGGUUUGAUGAAGUCAAGCCUGCAGGGUGGGAGAGUUACAGCAUAGACGAGGUUACUGUUAAGACACAAGGACGCUAGCACUCACACAAUGCGAUAAGGUAAUUCCCUAAAUCCUAUCCUAUUGUACUCCUCUGUCCCUCAAAUACAAAGCAUGCUCCCUAAACGGAUUAAAGUAGUUUGGAGAACGUGUCUGUGUGUGUGUGUGACCCUUCAGCUCCAUUAGAUUGUAUGGGAUCCUUAUCUAUCGCUAGUCUGGCAUCUCGAAAUAACCUUGUAUCUGGACACAGACACACAAUCAUAAACAACACUUACCGGCUGUGUGAUGACAAGGACAAAGAGAGAGAAACUGAAAGUGAAAAGGAAGGUGAUAAAAAAGGAGGGACUGUUACCGAACUAGGUGGACCUGCAAAUCCAUAGUACAUCUAUGUUUGAUUUUAGAUUUGUCUUACCUCCUAUAUAUUUGGAUUCAACACAUUUACACGUGUUUGUGUGUGUAAGUGUUGCAAGUGUGUCUGUUUAUAAGUCUGUUCUUCCUGUGGUUCUAUCUGCAUACCACCGUGCGUUGAUAGCGCAGUAAUGGCUUUCGGCGCACUGCCGAAAAAAAAGGAUUUUUUUUCAAAUGGAGUCCGAGGAAGAAGCAGGGAGGAUAGGACAGCCGAUGUCAACAUGGAGAGAUGAGAUAAAGUAAGUUUAGCGGCAGAGGGGGGGGUCGGCGGCCAGGACUGGACCCACGGAAGAGGCUGCUGAUGGCAAAGAUAAAAGUGGACUCUGGAUGCUUUGAUCCCAUCAGCAUCAGGAAGAGCCUGAUUACAAACUGACAGGCUCACUGAGUGACCAACUGCGCAUAUGUCUGUUAUCCUUAAUGUUAAUGGAGACGUUUGAUUGACUGCAAGCUAGUGGCCCUUGUGAACAAAACAUGUUGAGGAACUAAGGAGCCACAUCAGCUAAAUGAGGAUUAAAAAAACGUCCUCUUUUAUAUUUUCUUGUUCGGGAGCCUCUUCUUUUUCAGGGUCUGACUGUGGUUCAAAACAAUAUGGUUGCAAGAUUCUAUCUUUAUCUGCAAUAGCCAUAUUUCUACAAAGGUAAUGUGUAGCUAGGCAAGCAACAGCUAGGCAAGCGCAUCUUUGUGUAAAAAGGCCUUAUGGAGUCUAAUGAAAGACCGCUCGGCCGAGUCAACAGAUCUGUUGAGUUCUGUCUCACAUUAUUGUCUACAGAACAUUGUUAAACUAAAGUAGAACAUUAACACACGUUAAGCCCUGAAACCGAUCUGCAUUUUUGGUUUUCUACUGUUUGGUGCCUCAAGCUACCCCUCAAGCAGGCCAAAUGUCUAAAGUGUCUAAAAUUUUAGUUAGUUUUGGUAACGUCAAAAUCCCCAAAAGUAAAAAAAAAGCUGACAGUUCACUCAAAUGAACCUGCUGUCAGGUCUACCAGUUAAACUGAGUGACAUAAAUUCAAGGGACCGACUAUUGACUAAUAUUUGACACAUUCCCUCUUUGUCCCUGACCUGCUGAUGCGAAACAGUGACGUCUUGCAAAGAACAUCUCUGCCCUGAAGCAGCCAGUUCGUACUUAACCCUUUAUGUCGCACACAUUAUGCUGACCCUUCCUACACUUCCAGUACCCAUAUUUCUUCUCUCAUUGCUCCGCCCCCCUGUCUAUUAUCACUUUCUCAGCCUGUGGCCUCUGUGCAGCUCUUUCCCACUGGGUACUCUCAAUUUCUGUCUGUCCAGUACGUUUCUCAUACACUCCAUUCCUUUGACUUGCUCUGUGUUAUUCUCUUCCUCUCUCUCCACAUAUCUGCAGAGGAGACAGGUCAGGACUCAAAAUGGGGUGGUCCGACCUUUUUUGUGGUAUUCAAAACAGAGUGAGAAUAUCACCAUCUCAUGUUCCCUCUAUAAAAUAUGGUGUGGAUUUAUUUUGCUGCCUCUGCCACCUUAGCCUCUCCUUCUCAAGAGCUAUUAAGGGGUGUCCCAGGUCUUCAGCGAAUAAAAGGAAGGACUUAAAGACAUUCUAAGAUUACUGCAAGUGAAUAUUUAAAAAGUUGGGUGAUCAAAGGGUGAUUUGAUGGGCAAAGAGGAGUUUUGCUAAAUACUUUUCAAGGCAAGACUGUUCUAAACUUCCUAAUGUGGCUAAAACCUCAACCAUUUUAGGUGACGUAUUACGGCCACUUCUAGGUUAGUUGAAUGUCUCAUGUUAUCAGUGGCAGGACUAACCGCUUGUACAUGAAAAAAAACGAACCAAAACCAUCUUUGAAAGAACAGCUCCAUAGCAAUACUAAGGAGUAAAAGGGAAGCUGGAAAGAUUUUACAACUGAUUCCUCAAAUUUACAUACCUAUGUGUGUAAGUUUUGCAUGAGAAAAAGCUGAAAGGAAACAGGAAACAGCAAUAAACGCCAGUCAGUUGAUCUGAUAAAGGGGAUAUGGAAAAAGGCCUGCUGCAUAAAUUCUGACAUUGCAGCAUUUAACUGACAUUAAUGACCAUCUUUAUAAGCUUAACUUGUUGAACUAAACGUUAUUCUUUCACACCACCACCACUAAAUAUAUUUUGUGAAUCACCUAUUCAUCAAUAUGAUACAUGUGUUUGUGUAGGUUUAUGGAUUGUUGUCACCUAACUAAUGGUAAUUAAAAUGUUAUUGUUGUAGCCAAACGGCCAGAGCUGUGUUGUUACCACCCUCUCGACUGGAUCUGCUCUGGACCUCUGAUUUGCAAACAUUCUGAUUUUUAAACUAACCAAUGGAGCUGCAUUGAAAGUAUGUGAUGUUUGAAAGAAAGACUCCAUUAUGAAGAUUUAAGACACUUGAUGAAAAGAGUGAAGUUAUGUUAACUGUAAAAACAAGCGGGUUCACUGACACAGAGAGAGAUGUGAGAGAUGUCUGUUGAUAUUGACAAGAGUCAUUGGUCGCUAUGGUAACAUUGGUUGUUCUUCCUUUUCAAUAACAAAAGGUUUUCUCUGGGAAAGUGGGCAAUACAAGCACAAUAUGGUGCCCUUUGUUGCAAAUCCUGUUACACCUCGAUGACAUGCACCUUCAAAUGUCCCCAGAUUUACCAUAUGAAAGUGACAAUCAUAAGUAUGGUGACAUAAGGUUUAGAAUGAAGUGGUGACAAUAAAAUGGCUGCUUGUGUGGAAUAUAUCUGGUCAAAGUCCAUCAGACCCUAUCUUCUGCAGGCUCAUAAAUAUUAAGGGGUUUUACUGGUUGGGUACCCACUGAUUACUUCUUAAUCGUCAAGGUCAUUAGCACUGUUUGUGUGGCUAAUCAGUUAGCUGUACACCAGAUAUUCUUGGGGGUGACUCUGGCUCUAGCUCCUCAUUCGGCCUUCUCUCUUCAACUGUGCCAAGUCUAGCCCACUUGUGGAAGUGUUAAAUAAUCUUAAGGAGCGAGCCAAGAAUGUGUGCAUUCUUCUGUGUGUUUGUGCGACCAGUAAAGCGGAGGGAGCUAGUACUCAUGUUGGACCGUGGCUAUGCGGCCAUGCAAUCUAAGGGGCGUUGGGGGGAAAUUGAUUGAUCCCAUACACACUGAGUUCUCUCUGACACUAACCUCUUCUCAUGAACCUUGUGACCUCUAUUCUGAACUGAAACUGUUCCAUAAUGGUACAGUGUUUCCACAACUUGAAACAUGUGUUCUUUAUCAACCACAAGAGUAAGUAGUAAGUAGAAUGUGGUUGGAUCUGUUUUAACUAUCAAAGGUCAGUUAUUGGCCAACUGCCCUUCAGUGACUUUGGGGCUGAGCCAGUCACAUUGGCAGUCUGGGGUCCCUCCAGAAAGCAAUGGGCAGGAGACCAUAUUGUUUGAACUGACAAACAUUAAAAGAGGCUGAGAUGAGGAAAUUACUUGGUGUUACACCUGCAGCUAAAAAAAACAGAUGAGCAGAAUUGUUUUUACAGAGAAAUGUGCAAAUAGAAGAAGAGUCAAGUGAGCAUUCGACAGAUGGUUCUGCGAAGGAGCCUCACAUUCUCACAUCAAUGUGUCAAGAAAACGUAGCUUGGUCAGCAUCAUGAAGCCCAACAUGUGACCCCCUUAUCAUCCCUCAGGCGCCAGUUUUGCACGUGUCAUCAUAGCGGGUUGAUAUACACUCUAAACACGUAUUUUGGCAUUAAAAAUAAGUUAUUAAAGUAGCAAAAUAACAAAAGUUAAAAAAAUACAGUUGACAUUUUUAAAUGACUAUGUACGCCCCUAAUGUAAGUUGGUCACAUGACUAAAGAUCGACAUGAGAAAAUAUCAAUGCUUCCUUUCUGUUGAGCAGAAUAUACUUAACUGCUCUGGCAGCGGGACCCACAAUCUCGCUCAUUGACAAGCCACGACCCAAAUUGAGGGAUGAUUUCAACUCGAAUUUAUUUAGUAAAAAGAUAGUGCAGUUUGAAUUUGAGAAAGUGCACAGAAUACAAAUACAUGUCUAUACUAUAUCAGAGGUAUUCAACAUCAUAAGACAUUUUUUUCCCAACCAAUUUUUUUUUUUUUUGUCUUUAAAUACACAUUUACAUGAAUCCAACUUAUUGUAGCGAACGCAUAAAUUGAUGAAGAAGAUUUUAUCUUUCAGUCCGCAAUGCACACAUUCAGCUGGGCACCGUUUCAUUCACAGCACCUUUCAUGCAAAUACGACAGCACAGGCACCAGCCAAUCAGCGUUUAUUCUCACAUCUAAAGAGCAUGAUGCUCAAAAAUAAAAGAUGGCGGACCAAACUCCGUAGAAUAGGGGGUCCCUGCUCCAUCUCGCCAUCAGUUUGGGGGAUCUUAGCCUGAAAAACAUUGAAGACCCCUGUACUAUAUAAUAGUAGUACUAAUGCUAAACCAAAACAACGAUGUUAGAGAGGGAAAAUGAAAUUAACAAGCUGUAACCGUUGUUGCUGCCGGAGUUUCUGAGGAACUAUCUUUGCAUGAGAUAUCACACACAAGGUUGUAUGAGAAUACUUCGUUUGAAUACAUGUAAUAUUUGCUUCACAUAUACUUUGUUGUCCCUAUGCUCCUAAAGAGAGCAUUAACCAGAUGUGCUUUGGCUUGUAAUACAACUUAUCACAACCAGUUAGAACUUUCUCACAUUAAUAAUGUAAUGGAUAGUUUUGAUCAUAUUUUUUAGUGUACAAAAUAUAAAUGUUUGAUAUAUAUUGUGCUUAAUAUUGAUGAGAAUUCAGGAGUUAAGACUGAGAAAUACAUAUAUAAAUCCUGUAUGCUGUAUAUAAAACCGUGUAGAGGACUACACACUCGCUUAGUAAAAUAUAAUAUAUAAUGCUUAGGAUGGGGAUGCAGCUCAGUUCUACACAUUAUUGAAUAUGUGCUUUCUUGUGUCGGAGCCUAACAUAUGUCCCACUGUUCUCAUACAAAUGUUUAAGCCAGAAGCUUAAACUAGGCAGAAAAAAAAAUAACACAAUGUACUUCAGGUUUCCUAAAUGGCUCAAACGCCCAAGCAUUGUACAAAUUUGCCUAUGUGUGCUCUCACAUACACAAUCAUGCCCCAUAAGUAAAUCCAAAAUGACGCCUCUGCUUGUGCAUGCCAGGAACAUCCAGAGAGCAUGCUGGAGAGAGAGAGAGAGAGAGAGAGAGAGAUUUUGAUUUUAGAAAACCUUUAUUUUACUUAAAAACAAUAUGAACGAUCAAAAAAAACAAAAAAAAACAUAGCCGUACAAACCAGUAGCUUCUCACAUUGUAUUGAAAGGAGGUUUAAAAACUAGUUCUUACUAGCACACAACAUAAUAUUUCAUCGUAGCACUAUUUUUCAUUAAAAUCUUUUAUCCAUGCUAUUGAAAAACCUAAAAUCAACCCAGAUUCUAGCUCUGAUUAGUGCAAUGAAAAUAUUGAGGGCUUCCUGCCCUACUCUUUCUUCUACUUUUUUUUUCCUACUUGUGUAGAUUAACCACUUGGUCGGAGAGGCAAAACUGGCAAUCGGCUUCCAUUUGAAGGCGUUCGCUUUCUUGUAGCCGACUCCUAAAAUGAAAGCUGCCCUGGACCAGGUCUCACCAAACCCUUUAAAUACAUCCUGCAGUGUGUUAAAGAGGCGACAGAGCCUCUCACAAUAAUAAAAACAGUGGAACACAGUCUCCUCCUCCUCACAGAACAGACAACGUUUAGAGACUGUAGGCUUAAUCACAGAAAUAAAAGCAUUAACAGCAAUGGCACCGUGUAGAAUCCUCCACUGAAGAUCUCCGAUUCUCUUUUUUAUGGGAGGUUUGUAUAAAACCCUCCACACUGGUUUCGCACCAAUGUCUAAGUUUAGUUUUUGCCUCCACACAGUGUCAGCUCUCUGGUCCAGUUUGUUCUUUUUGAGCACUUUUACACAUUUUUUGUAGAUUAUUUUACCCUUCACCAUAUGGAAGUCCAAGGGUUUGCGAUCUGCUUCUUGGAGUAGUGGUCCUAAGGCCCCAUCCAGGUUCGGAAUACAUCCUAGAUGCGGAAAGGGAUCUGUAGCAUCUGGAGCCUCCUCUCCUCUUCCGUACUGCUGCAGCAUCUCCAUCUCGUCUUCCGUCAGCCUCUCUGCCCACCCGCUUAAGAUCCUUGUGCUCUGCCGGAUAGAUUUUAGCCUGAGUCGUGACGCCACUGCCGAUGCGUCUGCCAGUUCAGGACCAACUACAUCCACCAGUCCCCCCAGGGCGGUGGUUCCAGAGGAGCACAGCAUGCUGGUCAGUCCUGGUAUCGUGCCGUCCUGGAUAUCUAGCCUGGCUCCGAACACAAGCGGUUCCUGAAGCAGCCAGUGUAGCGAGGACGUGGGUUCUGGUCUCUCCCAUUUAAAACAGUUCCAUGCUUUAAGAAGUGACUGAUAAAACGGCGAUAAUCCACCCAAUUUACAAAGGUUAAAAUCCAUUAGAAAAAGUGCGGUAUCCAGUCCCAGACCAGCUGCAUUCCUUAAAAUACAGUCUGUCACCCCUAUCCAUACCACAUCUGUCUGGCCUGUGAGAUACCUUUGUAAAAACUGGAUCCUGAAGGUGGUCACUCUGCUCUCGAUAUGCACGAGCCCUUGCCCCCCUUCCUCUUUGGGUAAAAAGAGUACGCUCUGUGGGAUCCAGUGCAGCCUGUCCCAGAAAAAAAUCUGUGAGGAUGGCCUGUAGCUUCUGUGUGAGGCCUUUAGGGGGGUGCAUGCAGGCCAGUUUAUGCCACAGAGCCGAUGCCACCGGAUUGUUUAUCACCAGAGUCCUGCCUCUAUAUGACAUCUGUGACUUCAGCCACUUACACUUAGCCAGUCUUCCCUUUUUCUCCACAACCCCCCUCCCAGUUCUUCUUAACAAUACAUUCAUUCCCUACAUACACGCCAAGGUAUUUAAACCUGUCUUUUUUCCAGGUCAGCCCCCCCGGUAGGCUGGGCAGACCCUCCCUCCAGUUCCCUACUGACAGUGCCUCGCUCUUCACCCAAUUAACCUUUGCGCCUGACAAGGUGCCAAAGUUUUUAACAACUGUGGUCAGUGCACUGACCUCUUUCUGGUUUCUAACAAAGAUGACAAUGUCGUCAGCAUAAGCUAAUAAAAUAAAACCUUUAUUAAAACCCUUUAAAACUUGACCUCCAAGGGUCUCAACCCGGUCAAAAGCCUUUUCCUGGUCUAACGAACUGACACCAGUUCUAAUGCCCAAAGAACCAGAGAUAUUCAAAAUCUCACGAAUUAAUUAAUUAAUGACACUUUGUCCAGUAUACUCCUACCAGGCACACAGUAGGUUUGGUCUUUGUGGAUGACCUAGGUCAUCACCUCUCUCAGCCGGUUGGCCAGUGCCUUGGACAGUAUUUUGUAAUCCGAGCAGAGAAGUGACACUGAACGCCAGUUCUUCAUUUUCUGCAGGUUUCCUUUUUUCGGUAGCAGAGUUAUUACUGCCCUUCUGCAACUGAGCGGUAGCAUUAUGUCUUUAAAACUCUCUUUCAACGCGGUUAAAAGAUCCUUCCCCAUCUCGCUCCAGAACUCUUUAUACAACUCCACCGGGAUCCAAUCUAUUCCUAGGGCCUUCCCGCCCUCCCUGCCCCGCAGAGCAGCGUACAGUUCAUCUGCCAUCAGAAGACCCUCCACCCCGGCAUUCACCUCUUCCGGGACCUUUGGUAGCUCUCCACAGAAAUACUCAAACAGUUCGAUAUUGUCCUCAUAUUCGUCAGAGUAAAGUUCAGAGUAAAAACUUGCCGCUCUCCUCCGGAUCUUGUUUGUGUCUCUGAGCUCCCGCCCUGAAUUAGAGCGUAUAGCGUGGAUAACGCUGCUCUGAAGUCAAAAUUCGGCUACAGGAGCUGGUGGUCAGUAACAACACAGAAACAUAAGUUUAAAUUUGGUGCAGGUACCAUGUAUUGCAAAAUAAUUAAACAAAAUAUUUACAAAUAGAAAUAAUGAAAGAAGAAAAAAGAAAAGAAUCAAAAUAUUUACAGACUGCAGUUGAACCGGUUAUAUUUAAGCACACUUUGUAGUGGUUGUUCACGCUAUACUAAUACAAAUUACCGGAAAUACCACACAAAAACAAAAGGGAAAAAGAACCGCCCCUGCAAUGGAUGGUAUACAAGACCAUGGAAUGUUUGUAUUGAGUAGUCCGUAGGUUAUUGUUUAUCAAGUGAAAGGAUCUGUAUGUGGGAUUGAAGCACUAGUCUAUGGAGGAGUGUGCGGGGGCAGGCUGUGGACAACCUUCCUACCAGACCAGUAGGAUGGCUAUUCAGUGGAUGCUACACGGAUGGUAGGCUCCCAGCAAUGGUAAUCCAGCUCGCCAUCAUUCGUCUCCAGACACUAAGGUAUUCUGUCCACAGCUGCCGAUCAGCUUCCCCACACCUCUGAAUGAGGAAGACACUGCAGCCUAGUUUAAACUCGUGCUCUACUGCGCUAUUGGCCAAGCACAGUCACGUGGCUGGGGUUGCGUGAGAUCACAUCUUAAAGGGCCAGGGGACGGCAAAACCAAUGUAAUAUAUUGCCAGAUUUCAACCUGGGUCACUUUUUUGGCCUGUGAGCCUUCCCUACUCCUUGUCUUUCUCUUCAGCUGAGGAAUUUUAAUCACCUCCUCAUCUGCCUCCAUGUCCACCUCACUCCCCUUGAACCUAGUUUCUUUCACCAGUUUUUCACUCUCAUCUUUUCCUUUUUCCUUUACUAUUUUCUGUCUCCUUCCCGUCUCCACCUGUCUUCCAGUGCACACUUGGCUGUUGCCCUGCCCUUGUGCACUCACCUGAGCCCCCACUGUCCCCUCUUCUUCUACCUGCUGGACCGAUUCAGUUUCCUCUUUUCCAACCUGCUGGACCACCUCUGUCCCCUCCUUUUCCAUCUGCUGGACCACCUCUGUCCCCUCCUCUUCCGCCUGCUGACCCAUCUCUGUCCCCUCCUUUUCGACUUGCUGGUCCACCCUUUUCCCCUCUUUUUCCACCUCCUGCACCCCGCUUGUCUCCUCUCUGCUCACCUGUUGCACGCUACCUGCCUCCCCCUGUUGUCGCUCCUGGCCGCCUUGCUUGUCUCCUCUGUCCUGCUGCUGGCUUGGGUUUUCCUUGGCGCCAUCCUGCUCAGCAGGUUUCUUUUGAGGACACGCUCUGACGCUUCUGACACCAAUCUGUUAGUGAUUCCCAGAGUAAAUACAAAUCAUGGGAAAGCAUCAUUUAGUUACUACGCAACAAACAAGAUCUUAGUGAUCUUGAAGGCUUAUGUAGUGGAAGCAUAUCAGUGAUAUACUUUGGCCCUAAACCAUGUAGUGAUUUAUAUGUGAGCAGUAGGAUUUUGAAAUUAAUUCUCUGACAUACUGGGAGCCAAUGUAAGGAUUUAAGAAUUGGUGUAAUGUGCUCAUAUUUUUUGGUCUUUGUUAGAACUCUAGCAGCAGCGUUCUGAACAAGCUGGAGGUGCCUGACAGUUUUUUUGGAAGACCUGCAAGGAGACCAUUACAAUAGUCUAGCCUACUAGUUAUAAAGGCAUGUACAAGUCUUGAGCUGACAUGAGCCCUCUAAGUCUUGCUACAUUUUUGAGGUGGUAGUAGGCCGAUUUUGUUACUGAUUUGAUGUGACUCUCCAAGUGUAAAUCUGAAUCCAUAAUAACCCCCAGAUUUCUGGCUUUAUUUGAUGUUUUCAGGGACAGAGAGUGAAGGUGUUGGGUUACUUUAAACCUUUCUUUUUUAGCACCAAAUACAAUGAUCUCAGUUUUGUCUUCAUUUAGUUGUAGGAAAUUUUGACACAUCCAGUCUUUGAUUUUCUCAAUGCACUGGCACAGAAGAUAGUCGUUUGGUGAUAGCGCUACAUCGAUUUGGGUGUCAUCAGGAAGAGAGAUGAUACAAGCAGCAUGGAGUGAAGGGGUUGUUAAACAAAAUAUAAUUGUUAGCUCUCCAAGUGUGUAUUUCCACACACCAAGUCAAGGGUGUGUUAAUGUGAACAUGACCAAAACAACAGAACAGCGUUUGUUUCACAGGAAAUCAUUACUCUACAGGAGCUGACAGGGGAAACAGUGCUGAUGGUAAUAUUUCGUCCAAGUCCACUCAGAGAAGACCUGUCCCCUCCUUUAUAAAGAAAAUAUAUGUAUGCAAUGUAUGUAUGUAUACGGUGCUGUCUUAUGACGUCGUCGUUAUUUUUUUAAGUAGGAAAAAUGUGUGUGUAAUUGUUUGCUCACACUGGCGAUGACAUUUUAUUUUGAGCAUGGUGUGAAAAUAUGGAAGUAAAUCUGUGUCAUCGGAUUUUGAAAGAAAAAGGUGAUUGAAUUUCUAGCACUGAAUAUUUAUGCAUUGAAAUCAUGUAUCUGAAUGUUUUUCAACGUUAAAAUAUUCAACCGCAAAUAAUUCAACCGAAAAAAAUUCAAUGCAAAAAUUCAAUGCAAAAAAAUUCGAACCGCAACAUCCGGGAACCCAAGGAAGAGCAAUCGAUUCUAGAUUCAAGAUCGGGAGCGUGCGUCAAGCAAAAGGAGCGAGCGCCCCAAUACAACUUCGGCUUGUCGACUAUGAUGACCGGAUUUCAGCCAUGUCCAUGAAGUUAAAGUUAAAAAGUUAAAAAGAAAGUUAAAACACUCAAUGAAGCCCCAUUAUUAAUGGACAUGGCUGAAAUCCGGUCAUCAUAGUCGACAAGCCCGAAUUGUAUUGGGGCGCUAUUUUAACGUUGAAAAACAUUCAGAUACAUGAUUUCAAUGCAUAAAUAUUCAGUGCUAGAAAUUCAAUCACCUUUUUCUUUCAAAAUCCGAUGACACAGAUUUACUUCCAUAUGAAAAAACUUUAAGCGCAAAAGAACAGAAAAGUGGAAAAAACAGCAAAUGCUGGUUUAGGAAAAGGAAUUAGGAGUUUCCAGGUUUGAAUCUCACAGUCUGGGAUUCAAAGCUUUUAAUAGGUGCAGUAAGAACGAUAAAGUGGACCCGGAUUGAGUCAAUGUUGUUUCAAGCAAUCACAUGAAGUCCGACAUCAUCGCUUCGUUGGGGCGAUCGAACUUUAAAACGCUAACCGUUUGUCCUUUAGCUAACAGAUAGUAGUAAAGAGGUGUCAGAGUGGCAGUUUACUUUCGCUAUGAAAGCAAUCCUGCAAAUUCUCAAGCAGUAAUGCAUAUACUGACUAAAGCUGAUAAAGCGGCUUUUAUCGUCUGAAUUUCAACACUGUAAACGUUUGCAGAUCAGAGGCACAUGUUUCUCAGGAAGCUUUAUAAACAAGGAAAACCUUAUGUUCUAUCAGUAUAAUUCUGCCCCUAAAUUCACAACACUACAAAUUAUUAGCAACCUAGCGCCUCAAACCACAUUACAUACGCAUACAAAUGGCUGAAAAAAUGGUGGAAAAAAUCCACUCUGUCUCUGUAGCUGCCGUUGAAACUGAUUGAACACUGUGUUCUCUUGCAGCAGCACACGUCGUGUAACUCCACAUAACCACACUGGGGAGCUGCAUAGAACAGUUCCCCCACUGCUGCCUCCCGAGCAGCAAGUUGCUGUUUUUAGGAUUGUGGCAAGGUAUAUUACACGGACACGCUUUGCCCUAUGUUUCCUGUGUCAAGCUGCCUUGUGUAAUGCUAAGCUAACUGUUUAGUGCCUGACCAGUGCAAGACAUGAAGUGUCUUUCCCCUGAAAGAAAUCACAUGUGAUUUUUUGUAUCACUCUGACUGCAUUGGCCUUUCUUAAUGCAGCCCAAAACAAUGUGAGACCAACGUGGCGAUUUAGACAAAUACAUGCAAGACACAUGUAAUGUACAGUGCAAAGUGAAAGUAUUCACAGCGCUUCAAUUUUUCCACAUUUUGUUAUGUUACAGCCUUAUUCCAAAAUGGAUUAAAUUCAUUAUUUUCCUCAACAUUCUACACACAACAACCAAUAAUGACAAAGUGAAAACUGUUUUGUGUAAAUCUGUUAAAAAUAAAGAACGAAAACACAACAUGUACGUAAGUAUUCACGGCCUUUGCUCAAUAAGCACCUUUGGCAGCAAUUACAGCCUCAAGUCUUCUUGGGUAUGAGUCCACAAGCGUGGCACACCUAUUUCUGGGCCGUUUCUCCCAUUCUUCUUCGCAGAACCUCUCAUGUUCCAUCAGGUUGGAUGGGGAGCGUCGGUGCACAGCCAUUUUCAGAUCUCUCCAGAGAUGUUCAAUCGGGUUCAAGUCAGGGCUCUGGCUGAGCCACUCAAGGACAUUCACAGAAUUGUCCCGAAGCCCCUCCUUUGUUAUCUUGGCUGUGUGCUUCGGGUUGUUGGCCUGUUGGAAAAUGCUCAGUCGCCCCAGUCUGAGGUCCAGAGCGCUUUGGAGCAUGUUUUCAUCGAGGAUGUCUCUGUACAUUGCUGCAUUCAUCUUUCCCUCAAUCCUGACUAGUCUCCCAGUUCCUCCCGCUGGAAAAAAAUCCCCACAGCAUGAUGCUGCCACCACCAUGCUUCACUGUAGGGAUGGUAUUGGGUAGGUGAAACCAGUGCCUGGUUUCCUCCAGACAUGAUGCUUGGCAUUCAGGCCAAAGAGUUCAAUCUUUGUUUCAUCAGACCAGAGAAUUUUGUUUCUCAUGGUCUGAGAGUCCUUCGGGUGCAUUUUUGCAUUACUUACAUUACAUUACAUGUCAUUUAGCGGACGCUUUUAUCCAAAGCGACGUACAAUAAGUGCAUUCAACCAUAGGGUACAAACUCUGGAGAAAGUGCAAUAUCCUCAAAUAAGCCAAUUUACAAUUUGCUAUAGAUGAGUAACGUUACAAGUACAAUUUAAGUGCUACAAUUUGUUAGUCUUUAGUUGAGGUAGAGUCUGAAGAGGUGUGUCUUUAGUUUGCGGCGGAAGAUGUGAAGGCUCUCUGCGGUCCUGGUGUCUUCAGAGAGCUCGUUCCACCAUUUCGGCGCAAGGACUGCAAAGAGUCCAGAUCUAGUCGAGUCGUUUUGCAAACUCCAGGCCGGCGGUAAUGUGCUUUUUACUGCGGAGUGGCUUCCGUCUGGCCACUCUACCAAACAGGCCUGAUUUGUGGAGUGCUGCAGAGAUGGUUGUCCUUCUGGAAGGUUGUCCUCUCUUCAUAGAACAACGCUGGAGCUGUCAGAGUGACCAUCGGGUUCCUGGUCACCUCCCUGACUAAGGCCCUUCUCCCCCGAUUGCUCGGUCUGGCUCGGCAGCCGACUCUAGGAAGAGUCCUGGUGCUUCCAAACUUCUUCCAUUUCCGGAUGAUGGAGGCCACUGUGCUCAUUGGGACUUUCAAUGCUGCAGAAAUCUUUCUGUACCCUUCGCCAGAUCUGUGCCUGGAUACAAUUCUGUCUCGGUGGUCUACAGAUAAUUCCUUGGACUAAAUGGCUUGGUUUAUGCUCUGAUAUGCACUGUCAACUCUGAUACCUUAUAUAGACAGGUGUGUGCCUUUCUCAAUCAUGUCCAAUGAACUGAAAUUAGCACAGGUGGACUCCAAUCAAGUUGUAGGAACAUCUCAAGGAUGAUCAGGGGUAACAGGAUGCACCGGAGCUAAAUUUUGAGUGUCAUGGCAAAGGCUGUGAAUACUUAUGUACAUGUUAUGUUUUCGUUCUUUAUUUUUAACAGAUUUGCAAAAGUUUGAAAAAAACAGUUUUCACUUUGUCAUUAUGGGUUGUUGUGUGUAGAAUGUUGAGGAAAAUAAUUAAUUUAAUCCAUUUUGGAAUAAGGCUGUAACAUAACAAAAAUGUGGAAAAAUUGAAGCGCUGUGAAUACUUUCCGGAUGCACUGUAUUACAUGUAUGUAUCAAUUUAACGUGUUAAAGAUUGCUACAUCAGAAAUGUUCCUUCUAUUUCUUAACACCCAUAAUAAUAUAUUGAUGGCCAUAUUAGUAUGUGAAUGGUGUGAUGUGCUGCCAGUGACAUUUGUUUAGGCUACAGCGUAUCUAACACUGGCUAUAAAAUGAAUGUUGAAAAUAAACAUAAAACCCUUUUCUCUCAGUGACUGCAGUUCUGAAUCCUGAAGCAAUGGCGGGUAUCAGUGACAGUGGGUCCGAAACUGUCCAAACAGAUCACCGCAAAGGCAAAAGACAUCUGCCGUCCACUCACAGUGUCUGCAUGUUCGCUUUGAACAAUGAAACCAUGUAAAAUGCUGCUGCCUCACAGCGUCUUGUUUUAACGGGAUUCCUGUGGACUGUCAACAAUGUGCAAAUACUUCCCUUUCAGCACCGUCAACUGAUUAUCUGGACACGCGGACAGUGGCUGGCAGUAGUUCAGUGGAGAUCAUUUUAUUAUAUUUUAUGACAUUUGACCAUCCACUGUUGACUGGGAGGAGCACACACAGAUGGAUGUGUUCUAACCUUCCUACGCAUUCACACACAUACACACAAAGACACAGACAGAGCAACACAUCGCGUUCAGUGUGGAGCUAAUCGUCUGUCAGUUCUAAUAUUCAUCAUCAGGCACGGGACAUAUGGUUGUGGUUUGAUCAGAAGACUGUGUAUAUGAUUGUGUGUAUGUUUGCGUGUAUUCUGAGAAAUAGAAAUAGAAAUAGAAAUCAUGCACACAAAAUGCAGAGAGAAAGGUUUGUUUUUUUCAAAAGAUCUAAUAUCAAACACCACAGCCAGCCAAAGAAAGUACAUUAUCAACUCUACCUUGAAAUGUGUCACCCACAAGGCACACUAACCCACCUCGAACGGAACAGUUUCAUCAACAAUGCAGAGGAAAUGUGAAGGUAGGUAGUAAAAAACGCAGAUGGAUGACAUUUUUUUAAUUUUCACACCUCGGGAAUCCGGCAGCAACAUUUCAAUCUGGAAAGACUUGUUAAAAUUUUAACAAGGAUUUACCGGCAUACAUAUUUAUAUUGCAAUGUUGUUUGGGGCUUUGACUCCAUCCUGCCGUAGAAUAGACAUGGGGCCGGAAUGCCAAGAUGAGAUGAGGCAUACCCCCUUUUGCGGUAGGAGGGGUCAGACUGACAGCAAAAGAGGAGACGAUUUUUUAACAAUUGCCAGGACUGAUGUAAUUGGUUUACAGUGAUUUUGCCCACGUCUGAUUGUAGUACCCAACCCCCGCCCCUAAUCAGCUGACCGUGCAUCUAUAGAGAGAGAGCCUUAGAGAGGCCACCUGGGAACAGCACAGCCUGUCCUGACUGAAUUUUUGACUAAGCUUCAUAUGUUGUCAAAGAGAAAGUUACCUAUAUGGUUGGGUUAAUGGCCACAGUCCAGGAUAUUUUAGCUAGGGCACAAGUUUUUAAAAAAAAUAUUAUAACAAAUUAUAUCUCCAAGGAGUGCUGCCACUGUAAUACUACAGAGAAUUAGCAUCC